rnacentral:lncRNA from 1 species
AUGCCUCUCGCUCUCGGGCUCCUAAUAGCAGCUCCUGAUAUUCUCGCUGCUUGCCAGGGACUGUGCCCUCCGCUAGAGAGCGCUAUUGGACCGUUUUCGCGCAUCCAACCCUCUCACUGCAGUCCCCACGCUCUAACAUUGACUGUCUCGCCGCAAAAGGCGCUUCGAGCAGCAUUGGAUCGAGCAACCAUGUCAGGCGUUUCCUCAGACACUCUGCGCGAUUCAGCCUUCAGAAUCCGAGGAACGCUACAAGGGUCUGGCAAAGACGGCCCGUUUAUGACGGCUCAUACAGCCGCCGCUUUUUCGCUAGCGGCAGAGCCCGAUGUUCAUCUUGUUGGAUUAACUCCUGCCGUAGACACGCUUCAGGAUUAUACACAACGAGAUGCAACGGAUUUGACGCACGCGCUUCCCCGGCUUACGGACGCCGCGAGCUUUCCGUAUUCGGGCAUGUUAACGCGUAUGAAAACGCUGAAAAAGGCGGAAACCUUGAAACCACUGACGCUAUUUCGGGCCGCGUGGGAACGCUUGCCCGGCAUUUCGCAAUGGGUGUUACGCACGAUUCGUCUCGGAUACACCAUUCAGUUUCGAAAAGGCCCGCCUCCUUUCCGCGGAAUUCUUCCCACGGUUGUGAAACCAGAGGAAGUCGCGGUGCUGCGGCAAGAAAUGACAGCUCUGCUGAAGAAAGGGGCUAUAGAAGAAGUACACCCCUCUCAGAUGGAGUCAGGUUUUUACAGCCGCUAUUUUGUUGUACCAAAAAAAGGGGGCGGUUUGCGACCCAUAUUGGAUCUACGCCAUUUGAAUCUUGCACUCAGGACGAGCAAAUUCAGGAUGUUAACGGUAAAGUCCAUUUUGUCUCAGAUUCAACCAAACACUUGGUUUGUCACGAUCGAUCUGAAGGAUGCAUAUUUUCAUAUUCAGAUCAUCAAGAGACACAGGAAGUUCCUCAGAUUCGCUUUAGAGGGCAAAGCGUAUCAAUACCGUGUUCUUCCGUUCGGCUUAGCCCUGGCUCCCCGAACUUUUUCAAAAUGCAUGGACGCAGCUCUGGCCCCGUUGCGGCUCCAGGGCGUUCGUGUGUUGAAUUACUUGGACGAUUGGCUGGUGCUAGCUCAAUCACAGACUCAAGCACUCUCUCACCGAGAUUUAGUGCUGAAUCAUUUAAGAAGCCUGGGCUUAUGCACGAAUUUCCAGAAGAGUGUUUUAAUCCCCUCUCAACGGAUAACCUUUCUGGGAAUAGAUUUGGACUCUCGCGCGAUGACAGCCAGACUAUCUCUCCCACGCGUUCAGUCUCUCACGUCAUGCGUGCGUCACUUCAAAGUAGGCCGCACAGUGACGGUGAGUUUGUGUCUCAGGCUGUUAGGUCUGAUAGCAGCGGCAUCCCCUGUAAUUCGUCUGGGCUUACUCCACAUGCUGCCUUUUCAGUGGUGGACGAAAAGUCAGAACAUUUCACCCCGUUGUUUUCCGCAUCGUACGAUUUCGGUGACACGGAGGUGUGUUAUGUCAAUAAAACAGUGGAUGUCAACCGAGUUCCUUCUAGCCGGAGUUCGGCUGGGGAUUUGUGCUUCCCGAGAGACUGUCACGACGGACACGUCUUUGACCGGUUGGGGAGCUGUUUGUCAAGGGCGCCCAGCUCAUGGAGUGUGGACAGCGACACAACGCGGUUGGCACAUAAACAGGUUGGAACUACUGGCAGUUUUUCUAGCUCUCCAGUAUUCCUCAAAUCUGCUGACCGGCCGUCAUGUACUACUCAGGUCAGACAACAUGGCGGUUGUGUCAUACCUGAAUCAUCAAGGAGGGUUACGCUCUCGCCCCCUGUGCAGGCUGGCGAGGAGUAUUCUCCUUUGGUCUCAGAACAGAUUUCUGUCGAUCCGAGCGGUUCAUGUCCCCGGACGUUUGAACGUCGGAGCGGAUCUGCUAUCCAGACAGACUCUGGAGCAGGGGGAAUGGAGAUUACACCCACAGACGGUGAGCCUUUUAUGGCGGAUAUUCGGAGAGGCGAGAGUGGACUUAUUCGCGUCGAGCACGACUACGCAUUGCCCGCUGUGGUUCUCCCUAUGCCCUCCAUCGCCCCUAGGCUUGGAUGCGUUAGCUCACGAUUGGCCCAGGACCAGCUUGUAUGCUUUUCCUCCAAUUCGUUUAAUUCCAGCGGUGUUGUCCAGGAUACGGCUGGACAGAGUGGAGCAGCUGCUGCUGGUGGCUCCGUGGUGGCCCACACAGCCGUGGUUUGCGGAACUGGUCAGUCUAGUAGCGGGCUCUCCAUGGGAGAUUCCCCUCAGACAGGACUUACUAUCGCAAGCACGAGGGAUGAUUUGGCACCCGAGGCCAGAUCUGUGGAAACUGUGGGCGUGGCCUCUGAGCGGAGUGAGUUAA